rnacentral:rRNA from 1 species
UGAACGCGGCGGCAUGCCUUACACAUGCAAGUCGAACGGCAGCACGGGUGCUUGCACUGGUGGCGAGUGGCGAACGGGUGAGUAAUACAUCGGAACAUGUCCAGUAGUGGGGGAUAGCCCGGCGAAAGCCGGAUUAAUACCGCAUACGAUCCCAUGGAUGAAAGCGGGGGACCUUCGGGCCUCGCGCUAUUGGGGUGGCCGAUGGCGGAUUAGGUAGUUGGUGGGGUAAAGGCCUACCAAGCCGACGAUCCGUAGCUGGUCUGAGAGGACGACCAGCCACACUGGGACUGAGACACGGCCCAGACUCCUACGGGAGGCAGCAGUGGGGAAUUUUGGACAAUGGGCGAAAGCCUGAUCCAGCAAUGCCGCGUGUGUGAAGAAGGCCUUCGGGUUGUAAAGCACUUUUGUCCGGAAAGAAAUCCUCUGCCCUAAUACGGCGGGGGGAUGACGGUACCGGAAGAAUAAGCACCGGCUAACUACGUGCCAGCAGCCGCGGUAAUACGUAGGGUGCAAGCGUUAAUCGGAAUUACUGGGCGUAAAGCGUGCGCAGGCGGUGAUGCAAGACCGAUGUGAAAUCCCCGGGCUUAACCUGGGAACUGCAUUGGUGACUGCAUCGCUGGAGUAUGGCAGAGGGGGGUAGAAUUCCACGUGUAGCAGUGAAAUGCGUAGAGAUGUGGAGGAAUACCGAUGGCGAAGGCAGCCCCCUGGGCCAAUACUGACGCUCAUGCACGAAAGCGUGGGGAGCAAACAGGAUUAGAUACCCUGGUAGUCCACGCCCUAAACGAUGUCAACUGGUUGUCGGGCCUUCAUUGGCUUGGUAACGUAGCUAACGCGUGAAGUUGACCGCCUGGGGAGUACGGUCGCAAGAUUAAAACUCAAAGGAAUUGACGGGGACCCGCACAAGCGGUGGAUGAUGUGGAUUAAUUCGAUGCAACGCGAAAAACCUUACCUACCCUUGACAUGUACGGAAUCCUGGUGAGAGCUGGGAGUGCCCGAAAGGGAGCCGUAAC